AGACUUAACUACCAUGCCCAAAACACAGAAAUACAUGUGUGCAGAGUGCAGAUGUGUUUUCCUCAGCAUCGAUGGAUUCAACAAACAUACAAAGUGGUGCCAGGGCAGCACUUUGUGGGUUGUGGAGGAGGAGAGUGAGUGAUGGUGAGAGCACAAGUACUUAGUACGAUACAAUACGCGUACUUACAGUAACGAAGCUGUUUCAUUGGAUCUACAGUAACUAUGGAAGUACGAUAAAGUACCUACCGAACACAUCAUUAGUCUCGCUAGAUACGACCCGUAUGUACUAUCGUAUUGUAUGUACAUACUGUAGCCCUGAAUAAAUGA
rnacentral:misc_RNA from 1 species